GUCCCUGUAGGCAAUGGAUAACGCGUUGGAAUUCUAAUCCAAAGGUCGUAGGUUCGAAUCCCACCUGGGAUG